GAUGAACGCUGGCGGCGUGCUUAACACAUGCAAGUCGAGCGGUGAACCACUCUUCGGGGUGGGGAUCAGCGGCGAACGGGUGAGUAACACGUGGGUAACCUGCCCCUGACUUUGGGAUAACUCCGGGAAACCGGGGCUAAUACCGGAUAGGAGCGCCUACCGCAUGGUGGGGGCUGGAAAGAUUUAUCGGUCAGGGAUGGGCCCGCGGCCUAUCAGCUUGUUGGUGGGGUGAUGGCCUACCAAGGCGACGACGGGUAGCCGGCCUGAGAGGGUGAUCGGCCACACUGGGACUGAGACACGGCCCAGACUCCUACGGGAGGCAGCAGUGGGGAAUCUUGCACAAUGGGCGAAAGCCUGAUGCAGCGACGCCGCGUGCGGGAUGACGGCCUUCGGGUUGUAAACCGCUUUCAGCAGGGACGAAGCGGAAGUGACGGUACCUGCAGAAGAAGCCCCGGCCAACUACGUGCCAGCAGCCGCAGUAACAC
rnacentral:rRNA from 1 species